AGCGAACGCUGGCGGCAGGCUUAACACAUGCAAGUCGAGCGGGCCCUUCGGGGUCAGCGGCGGACGGGUGAGUAACGCGUGGGAACGCGCCUUCUGGUCUGGAAUAACCCUGGGAAACUAGGGCUAAUACCGGAUACGCCCUUUUGGGGAAAGGUUUACUGCCGGAAGAUCGGCCCGCGUCUGAUUAGCUAGUUGGUGGGGUAACGGCCUACCAAGGCGACGAUCAGUAGCUGGUCUGAGAGGAUGAUCAGCCACACUGGGACUGAGACACGGCCCAGACUCCUACGGGAGGCAGCAGUGGGGAAUAUUGGACAAUGGGCGCAAGCCUGAUCCAGCCAUGCCGCGUGAGUGAUGAAGGCCUUAGGGUUGUAAAGCUCUUUUAUCCGGGACGAUAAUGACGGUACCGGAGGAAUAAGCCCCGGCUAACUUCGUG
rnacentral:rRNA from 1 species